AACGAACGCUGGCGGCGCGUAUUAAGCAUGCAAGUCGAACGGGAACCGACCCCGCAAGGGGUUGGGGAGAGUGGCGAACGGGUGAGUAACACGUAGGUGAUCUGUCCCCGGGUGGGGUAUAGCCCAUGGAAACAUGGGGUAAUACCGCAUGAGGUCCUGGAGCUGAGGCUUCUGGAUGAAAGGCGCAAUUGUGUUGCCUGGGGAUGAGCCUGCGGCUCAUUAGCUAGUUGGCGGGGUAAAGGCCCACCAAGGCGACGAUGGGUAGCCGGCCUGAGAGGGUGUACGGCCACACUGGGACUGAGACACGGCCCAGACUCCUACGGGAGGCAGCAGCUAAGAAUCUUCCGCAAUGGGGGCAACCCUGACGGAGCGACGCCGCGUGGACGAAGAAGGCCGCAAGGUUGUAAAGUCCUUUUGCAGACGAAGAAUAAGGCUCGGAGUGGAAAGCCGGGCUGAUGACGUUAGUCUGCGAAUAAGCCCCGGCCAAUUACGUGCCAGCCGCCGCCGUAAGAC
rnacentral:rRNA from 1 species